GAACUGGGCGGGCGUGCUUACCAUGCAAGUCGAGCGGAAAGGCCCUUCGGGGUACUCGAGCGGCGAACGGGUGAGUAACACGUGAGCAACCUGCCCUAGGCUUUGGGAUAACCCCGGGAAACCGGGGCUAAUACCGAAUAGGACCUGGCCUCGCAUGAGGCUGGGUGGAAAGUUUUUCGGCCUGGGAUGGGCUCGCGGCCUAUCAGCUUGUUGGUGGGGUGAUGGCCUACCAAGGCGACGACGGGUAGCCGGCCUGAGAGGGCGACCGGCCACACUGGGACUGAGACACGGCCCAGACUCCUACGGGAGGCAGCAGUGGGGAAUAUUGCACAAUGGGCGGAAGCCUGAUGCAGCGACGCCGCGUGAGGGAUGACGGCCUUCGGGUUGUAAACCUCUUUCAGCAGGGACGAAGCGUAAGUGACGGUACCUGCAGAAGAAGCGCCGGCCAACUACGUGCCAGCAGCCGCGGUAAGACGUAGGGCGCGAGCGUUGUCCGGAUUUAUUGGGCGUAAAGAGCUCGUAGGCGGCUUGUCGCGUCGACUGUGAAAACCCGCAGCUCAACUGCGGGCCUGCAGUCGAUACGGGCAGGCUAGAGUUCGGUAGGGGAGACUGGAAUUCCUGGUGUAGCGGUGAAAUGCGCAGAUAUCAGGAGGAACACCGGUGGCGAAGGCGGGUCUCUGGGCCGAUACUGACGCUGAGGAGCGAAAGCGUGGGGAGCGAACAGGAUUAGAUACCCUGGUAGUCCACGCUGUAAACGUUGGGCGCUAGGUGUGGGGGGCCUCUCCGGUUCCCUGUGCCGCAGCUAACGCAUUAAGCGCCCCGCCUGGGGGAGUACGGCCGCAAGGCUAAACUCAAAGGAAUUGACGGGGGCCCGCACAAGCGGCGGAGCAUGCGGAUUAAUUCGAUGCAACGCGAAGACCCUUACCUGGGUUUGACUUGGCCGCAAACCGGCAGAGAUGUCGGGUCCUUCGGGGGCGGU
rnacentral:rRNA from 1 species